CCUACGGGAGGCAGCAGUAGGGAAUCUUUCACAAUGGGCGAAAGCCUGAUGGAGCAACGCCGCGUGCAGGAUGAAGGCCUUCGGGUUGUAAACUGCUUUUAUAAGCGAGAAAUAUGAUGGUAACUUAUGAAUAAGGAUCGGCUAACUACGUGCCAGCAGCCGCGGUCAUACGUAGGAUCCGAGCAUUAUCCGGAGUGACUGGGUGUAAAGAGUUGCGUAGGUGGCAUAAUAAGUAGCUAGUGAAAUCUGGUGGCUCAACCAUUCAGACGAUUAGCUAAACUGUUAAGCUCGAGACAGUUAGGGGUAACUGGAAGUUCUAGUGUAGGAGUGAAAUCCGUAGAUAUUAGAAGGAACACCAAUAGCGUAGGCAGGUUGCUGGGACGGUUCUGACACUAAGGCACGAAAGCGUAGGGAGCAAACGGGAUUAGAUACCCGAGUAGUC
rnacentral:rRNA from 1 species